AUCUGGGCAGCGGAAGGCAUUCAGGCCUAAACGCAAAGGACAAGGGAGGAAUGCCAAAGGAGCUGGUAACCUUGGGCCUAAAGAAGGCAAGAUAGCAAAGCGCCAAAAGGGCAAGCGUGCUAAGAAGGACAAGGCAAAGAUCAAGUGCUACAACUGUGGUAAGAAGGGUCACUUCGCUCGUGAGUGCACUGAGCCGAAGAAGAUUCAGGAGCAACCAAACAUAUAGCCAGAGAUAGAGUUGGGUGUGUGGAUUACAAAAGGAUACCAACAGGCACACAGUACAUUAUUUUGGGUAACGGAGCUCAAGAAGAAGUCAUAGGAGUUGGAACCUACCAACUCAAAUUGCGUCUGGGACGUACGUUACUUCUUCAUGAUGUGCUUCAUGCACCUGGUGUCCAAUGUAAUCUAUUUUCAGUACUUACUAUGCUUAGACUUGGAUUUAGUUUCCGUUUUAAUGGUCCUCAGUUGGAUUUUUAUUUAAAUAAAACCUUGUAUGGACAUGGUUAUUUAUCUAAUAAUUUCUUUAUGUUGGAUUUA